GCCCAGAUGGCGGAAUUGGUAGACGCGCCAGACUCAAAAUCUGGUUCCCGCAAGGGAGUGAGGGUUCAAUUCCCUCUCUGGGCACCA
rnacentral:tRNA from 1 species